CAAGGAGUAGUUUAAUUAGAAUUUCAGCUUUGGGUGCUGAUGGUGGGGCUUGGAGCCUCCUCCUUGA
rnacentral:tRNA from 1 species